rnacentral:rRNA from 1 species
AGAGUUUGAUCCUGGCUCAGAUUAAACGCUAGCGGCAUGCCUUACACAUGCAAGUCGAACGGCAGCGGGCUCUUCGGAGCGCCGGCGAGUGGCAAACGGGUGAGUAAUACAUCGGAACAUGCCCAGUAGUGGGGGAUAGCUCGGCGAAAGCCGAAUUAAUACCGCAUACGACCUUCGGGUGAAAGGGGGGGAUCUUCGGACCUCUCGCUAUUGGAGUGGCCGAUGCCUGAUUAGUUUGUUGGUGGGGUAACGGCCUGCCAAGACUGCGAUCAGUAGCUGGUCUGAGAGGACGAUCAGCCACACUGGGACUGAGACACGGCCCAGACUCCUACGGGAGGCAGCAGUGGGGAAUCUUGGACAAUGGGCGAAAGCCUGAUCCAGCAAUGCCGCGUGUGCGAUGAAGGCUUUCGGGUUGUAAAGCACUUUUGUCAGGGAAGAAAUGGUUCGGGCCAAUACCCCGGACUUCUGACGGUACCUGAAGAAUAAGCACCGGUUAACUACGUGCCAGCAGCCGCGGUAAUACGUAGGGUGCAAGCGUUAAUCGGAAUUACUGGGCGUAAAGCGUGCGCAGGCGGUUUACUAAGACAGGUGUGAAAUCCCCGGGCUCAACCUGGGAACUGCAUCUGUGACUAGUAGACUAGAGUUUGGCAGAGGGGGGUGGAAUUCCUGGUGUAGCAGUGAAAUGCGUAGAUAUCAGGAGGAACACCGAUGGCGAAGCAGCCCCCUGGGCCACCACUGACGCUCAUGCACGAAAGCGUGGGGAGCAAACAGGAUUAGAUACCCUGGUAGUCCACGCCCUAAACGAUGUCAACUUAGUUGUUGGAUCUUUCUGAUUUGGUACCGAAGCUAACGCGUGAAGUUGACGGCUGGGGGAGUACGCCGCAAGGUUAAACUCAAGGAAUUUGACCGGAACCCGCAUCAGCGGGUGAAUGAUGUGGAUUAAUCGAUGCACGCGGAGAAACCUUACUAACCCUGGACUGUCAGAAAUUUGCCAAAUGCGAAGGCUUCGAGAGGAAAUGAUACACAGGGCGUGCAAUGACUC